CAGCAGCCACGGUAAUACGAGGGGGGCAAGCGUUGUUCGGAAUUAUUGGGCGUAAAGGGUGCGUAGGCGGUUUGGCAAGUCUUGUGUGAAAUCUUCGGGCUCAACCCGAAGCCUGCACGAGAAACUGCCGGGCUUGAGUAUUGGAGAGGUGAGUGGAAUUUCCGGUGUAGCGGUGAAAUGCGUAGAUAUCGGAAGGAACACCUGCGGCGAAAGCGGCUCACUGGACAAUAACUGACGCUGAUGCACGAAAGCUAGGGGAGCAAACAGGAUUAGAUACCCCAGUAGUCCCUGUCUCUUAUAC
rnacentral:rRNA from 1 species